GGGAGGCAGACGGAAAUGGCGGAGAGUUUCCGGACGACUCUCCCGACGGCUUCCGUAUUUUUCUUCUCAAUUCUCGACCACUCCUCCAGCAAUCUGAGUUCCGAUUUGCCUUUUCUGCAGUUCAAUUGGCGAAAGCAACAGUCAGUGAGAUUCGGUUAAAGUGUAAUUGACUGAUGAAAUUGUGGUGUUAAUUGGUGGAGAUUUGAGACCUGAGCUAAUUUUCUAACUGCCGCCAUGGACGCUUCCGCUCGAGCGUUCGCGAAUCGCCACUGCAAUAGCCUGUUGUACGCUACGCGGUACCGGUGGUACUCCUCCUCCAGCGCUGAUUUAGGCGUCGGCGCCGGAGAUGACCAUGGCGACUGCCGGCCGGGGGACAGCGCCCAUGCUGAAGGCGAAGUGGUACCCGAUCUCGUUCGUCUCGGAAUCUCCGUGUGACUCCUGCUGCGCGGCAAAAGCCUAACGAAACCGCCGGCUUCGUCGACCGAUUCCUGCUUCUUCGCAGACUUGACCUGAAUUUUUUCAGUUCUGUAAUUCACCACAGGCGCCGCCGCUGCUCUUCCGCUUUUUCUAUGGAGCAACCGCGUCGAGUCUCCGCCACCGUUCCCUCCGCCUUGCUGCUGCCGGCGACACGUAUAUAUAGAUGAGGAAAUUCUAGCAGCUGAAAUGAAAAGUAAUUAGGAGGAAGAAAGUCGAGAGCACGUUUCAUUUUCACGAUGGACUCAGGGCUGCGGCGAUGAAUAUGGUCGUCACGAAUAGGUUAGUAUUUUUUAAUGCUAUUAAUUAAUGAUAGCUAUUAAUUUCUUAAUUGUUUUACGAAUAUGAUAGCUUUUUUUUUUUUUCUUUUUUUUUUUUAACGAAUAUGUGAAUUAUAUAAUAGCAUCCUAUCUGUCUCACAUAAUUUAUCAUUUUUUUAAAAAAAUAUA